CGAUAAGAACAUUUUUACUUUUACGAGGACGGUUAAAUUUUUCAAUAUGUUGAGUUUUGCGAUUUUCACAGAAUUACGGACAUCGGCCAA